rnacentral:rRNA from 1 species
ACUCCUACGGGAGGCAGCAGUGGGGAAUAUUGCACAAUGGGCGCAAGCCUGAUGCAGCCAUGCCGCGUGUGUGAAGAAGGCCUUCGGGUUGUAAAGCACUUUCAGCAGUGAGGAAGGCGGAGUCGUUAAUAGCGGCCUCGUUUGACGUUAGCUGCAGAAGAAGCACCGGCUAACUCCGUGCCAGCAGCCGCGGUAAUACGGAGGGUGCGAGCGUUAAUCGGAAUUACUGGGCGUAAAGCGCAUGCAGGUGGUUUGUUAAGUCAGAUGUGAAAGCCCGGGGCUCAACCUCGGAAUAGCAUUUGAAACUGGCAGACUAGAGUACUGUAGAGGGGGGUAGAAUUUCAGGUGUAGCGGUGAAAUGCGUAGAGAUCUGAAGGAAUACCAGUGGCGAAGGCGGCCCCCUGGACAAAGACUGACGCUCAGAUGCGAAAGCGUGGGGAGCAAACAGGAUUAGAUACCCUGGUAGGAUA